AAGACUAUACUUUCAGGGAUCAUUUCUAUAGUUUCUGACUUGAAAAUGUGUUUCUAAAGUGUUUGGUCUCGCCAACCACGAUGAGGAGUCGUGAUAUUUCCUUCUGAGCGUAAGCUGACGAGAGUAAUGAUUCACUUCAAUGUUUCUCUGUCAUGGAUGAUUGUUUCUUUACUGUCUUUGUGGAGUGUAUUGAGGAAGGGAUAUGAUCAGAGUGGU
rnacentral:snoRNA from 1 species